rnacentral:rRNA from 1 species
CCUACGGGAGGCAGCAGUGAGGAAUAUUGGUCAAUGGGCUUACGCCUGAACCAGCCAAGUCGCGUGAGGGAAGACUGCCCUAUGGGUUGUAAACCUCUUUUGUCAGGGAGCAACGCCGGCUACGUGUAGCCGGACUGAGAGUACCUGAAGAAAACGCAUCGGCUAACUCCGUGCCAGCAGCCGCGGUAAUACGGAGGAUGCGAGCGUUAUCCGGAUUUAUUGGGUUUAAAGGUUGCGUAGGCGGAAUGCCAAGUCAGCGGUAAAAUCGCGGGGCUCAACCUCGCUCCGCCGUUGAAACUUGAGUUCUGGAGUGGGCCAGAAGUAUGCGGAAGGCGUGGUGUAGCGGGGAAAUACAUAGAUAGCACGCAGAACUCCGAGUGCGAAGGCAGCAGACCGGCGCCCAACUGACGCUGAAGCACGAAAGCGUGGGUAUCGAACAGGAUUAGAUACCCUUGUAGUC